rnacentral:rRNA from 1 species
UGGCUCAGAUUGAACGCUGGCGGCAGGCCUAACACAUGCAAGUCGAGCGGAUGAGAAGAGCUUGCUCCUCGAUUCAGCGGCGGACGGGUGAGUAAUACCUAGGAAUCUGCCUGGUAGUGGGGGACAACGUUUCGAAAGGAACGCUAAUACCGCAUACGUCCUACGGGAGAAAGCAGGGGACCUUCGGGCCUUGCGCUAUCAGAUGAGCCUAGGUCGGAUUAGCUAGUUGGUGAGGUAAUGGCUCACCAAGGCUACGAUCCGUAACUGGUCUGAGAGGAUGAUCAGUCACACUGGAACUGAGACACGGUCCAGACUCCUACGGGAGGCAGCAGUGGGGAAUAUUGGACAAUGGGCGAAAGCCUGAUCCAGCCAUGCCGCGUGUGUGAAGAAGGUCUUCGGAUUGUAAAGCACUUUAAGUUGGGAGGAAGGGCAGUAAGCGAAUACCUUGCUGUUUUGACGUUACCGACAGAAUAAGCACCGGCUAACUCUGUGCCAGCAGCCGCGGUAAUACAGAGGGUGCAAGCGUUAAUCGGAAUUACUGGGCGUAAAGCGCGCGCAGGUGGUUCGUUAAGUUGGAUGUGAAAUCCCCGGGCUCAACCUGGGAACUGCAUCCAAAACUGGCGAGCUAGAGUAGGGCAGAGGGUGGUGGAAUUUCCUGUGUAGCGGUGAAAUGCGUAGAUAUAGGAAGGAACACCAGUGGCGAAGGCGACCACCUGGGCUCAUACUGACACUGAGGUGCGAAAGCGUGGGGAGCAAACAGGAU